rnacentral:snRNA from 1 species
GGAUGUGAGGGCAGUCUGGCUGUGACGUUACCCCAUUGAUCACCAGGGUUGAUUUGGCUGAUCUGGCUGGUUUGGCAGGUGUCCCCUUCCUCCCUCACCACUCCAUGUGCGUCCUUCAGUACUCCAUGUGGGUCCCUUUCUAGGCUGCGUGCCCCGUUGAAGAGGACGACCAACCCCAAUAGAGGAGGUAUGGUCUUCAGUUAAGGGUAUUAAGAGUAGCUGUGCUACCCUGCUAGAACCGCCAAACAAGCUCUCAAGGUCCAAACAGUGGAAAAUGAAAGUUCAGGUUGAUUCAUGUUGGCAAGUUUUUGUAUUAAAAAAAAAUUUAAAAACACAAAUGGGCUUAUACCAAUAAAGUUUCACCCUCCUCUCCCCUCCUCU